rnacentral:rRNA from 1 species
CGAACGAUGAACCUCCUUCGGGAGGGGAUUAGUGGCGAACGGGUGAGUAACACGUGGGCAAUCUGCCCUGCACUCUGGGACAAGCCCUGGAAACGGGGUCUAAUACCGGAUACUGAUCAUCUUGGGCAUCCUUGGUGAUCGAAAGCUCCGGCGGUGCAGGAUGAGCCCGCGGCCUAUCAGCUUGUUGGUGAGGUAAUGGCUCACCAAGGCGACGACGGGUAGCCGGCCUGAGAGGGCGACCGGCCACACUGGGACUGAGACACGGCCCAGACUCCUACGGGAGGCAGCAGUGGGGAAUAUUGCACAAUGGGCGAAAGCCUGAUGCAGCGACGCCGCGUGAGGGAUGACGGCCUUCGGGUUGUAAACCUCUUUCAGCAGGGAAGAAGCGAAAGUGACGGUACCUGCAGAAGAAGCGCCGGCUAACUACGUGCCAGCAGCCGCGGUAAUACGUAGGGCGCGAGCGUUGUCCGGAAUUAUUGGGCGUAAAGAGCUCGUAGGCGGCUUGUCGCGUCGGUUGUGAAAGCCCGGGGCUUAACUCCGGGUCUGCAGUCGAUACGGGCAGGCUAGAGUUCGGUAGGGGAGAUCGGAAUUCCUGGUGUAGCGGUGAAAUGCGCAGAUAUCAGGAGGAACACCGGUGGCGAAGGCGGAUCUCUGGGCCGAUACUGACGCUGAGGAGCGAAAGCGUGGGGAGCGAACAGGAUUAGAUACCCUGGUAGUCCACGCCGUAAACGGUGGGCACUAGGUGUGGGCGACAUUCCACGUCGUCCGUGCCGCAGCUAACGCAUUAAGUGCCCCGCCUGGGGAGUAC